UCGAGAAUUUUUCUCAAUGGGGGAAACCCUGAAGGAGCGACGCCGCGUGAAGGAUGAAGGUCUUCGGAUUGUAAACUUCUGUCAUUUGAGAACAAACUGCACGGCUUAACUGGCUGUGCACUGAUAGUAUCAGAAGAGGAAGAGACGGCUAACUCUGUGCCAGCAGCCGCGGUAAUACAGAGGUCUCGAGCGUUGUUCGGAUUCAUUGGGCGUAAAGGGUGCGUAGGUGGUCUGGUAAGUCGGAUGUGAAAUCCCGGAGCUUAACUUCGGAACUGCAUUCGAUACUGCCGGACUGGAGUACUGGAGAGGAGAUCGGAAUUUACGGUGUAGCAGUGAAAUGCGUAGAUAUCGUAAGGAAGACCAGUGGCGAAGGCGGAUCUCUGGACAGUUACUGACACUGAGGCACGAAGGCCGAGGGGAGCAAACGGGAUUAAGGAUACCCCGGUAGUCCUGGCA
rnacentral:rRNA from 1 species